rnacentral:rRNA from 1 species
UCUAGCGAAACUGCCACCGUAAGGUGAGAGGAAGGUGGGAUGACGUCAAAUCAGCACGGCCCUUAUGUCCAGGGCUACACACGUGUUACAAUGGCCGGCACAGAGGGCAGCUACCUGGUGACAGGAUGCUAAGUCUCGAAAAACCGGUCUCAGUUCGGAUCGAAGUCUGCAACUCGACUUCGUGAAGCUGGAUUCGCUAGUAAUCGCGCAUCAGCCAUGGCGCGGUGAAUACGUUCCCGGGCCUU